rnacentral:misc_RNA from 1 species
AAGUCGUAACAAGGUUUCCGUAGGUGAACCUGCGGAAGGAUCAUUAAUAAAAUGAUGAUUUUUUCGGGUUUUUUAAAUUCCAAAAAUAAUUCACCCUUUGUGCACUGUUAUAAGAUAUACUUUGGUUAGAGCUUUGAUUUCAUUUAAUGGAAUCAACUUCUUGCUGACUCUAUCCUUUCUGAGGACAGUUGGCUAUGAAGCGGCCUACCAAGGUUUUUUAUCAAACACAUUUAUUUAUCUGACCUAAACUAUUAUAAUAAAAUCAUAACUUUCAACAACGGAUCUCUUGGCUCUC